UACGUAGGUGGCAAGCGUUGUCCGGAAUUAUUGGGCGUAAAGCGCGCGCAGGUGGUUUCUUAAGUCUGAUGUGAAAGCCCACGGCUCAACCGUGGAGGGUCAUUGGAAACUGGGGGAACUUGAGUGCAGGAGAGAAGAGUGGAAUUCCACGUGUAGCGGUGAAAUGCGUAGAGAUGUGGAGGAACACCAGUGGCGAAGGCGACUCUUUGGCCUGUAACUGACACUGAGGCGCGAAAGCGUGGGGAGCGAACAGG
rnacentral:rRNA from 1 species